UACGGAGGGGGCUAGCGUUGUUCGGAAUUACUGGGCGUAAAGCGCGCGUAGGCGGCUUUGUAAGUUAGAGGUGAAAGCCCGGAGCUCAACUCCGGAAUUGCCUUUAAGACUGCAUCGCUAGAAUCAUGGAGAGGUGAGUGGAAUUCCGAGUGUAGAGGUGAAAUUCGUAGAUAUCAGGAGGAACACCGGUGGCGAAGGCGCUCAUCUGGCCCAAUACUGACGCUGAGGCGACGAAAGCUAGGGGGAGCAAACGGG
rnacentral:rRNA from 1 species